CUCCAGUGGCCACUCCUCAAAUGGCUACUAGUGGUGCUUCUUGAGGGCAGUGCUGCACAGUGUGCAGCAUUGACCUUUAGUCUCUCCAACCUCUGCAUGGGGACACACUCUUUUGACGAAAAAGCAGAGUAGUAAACACCACUGGAGUCUCUCUGGGAGAGUCACGCUGCCCCCCGGGCCCAGCUCAAAUGAGCUGCUGCUUGUGGUAUGCCGUCAUGCCUGUUGGGUCUCCCUAGCUUGUGGUUUUCCUGCCUCCGGCCUGGUUUUGGCAUGAGUUGGGUCCCGAUUAGAGCUUGAGUCUAGUAAGUGCCACUCUGCCAGUCCCGGGUUCUGUAUGAGCCGACCACUUGUGCCCUCGGUUCCGGUACCAUGUAUGGCCGGCAACGGGAUUCCUGGCAAGUGUGUUCCAUCCAGGUGUAGGGCUGCGGUUUGAGGAUUGUCCUCUAGGGGCUCAAGGCCCAGAAAGGCUGUCGUGGAGACCAGGCCCAAGCUCUGGGUUCGGAGGCUGGACAAUGCAGGGCUACUCCGUCGAGUGUUGGAAGAGCUCCAGCAAUAGUUCCAGGGGUCAUGGUGAGGUGCCUCUAAUUACAAUGCUUCCUGCGAGCAGUGUGGGUGGUCUCACCCGAUGUUGGCAGAGCACAUAUGCCCGGUUCCCUCCGUGAGGGUGGGGGAGGGGACUGGGGCCUACGAGGUGUGUCACAGUGUUGUACUGUGGCAGCUAGGCUUGCGAGCAGGGCAGUGGCCCUCUGCCCCGCUCCCGAGUAGGCCGCAGGCACCAAAGUUUUGUACCACAAAGGCCCCAAAACACCCGAUCUCCCCUGAUGUAGUCUAUGGUGGUGCCAACCGUCUCCUGUUAUCUUUAGGGGACUACUCUGUUAGAUUAGCAGCAGUAAGUCCAUGAUUUCUGCCUUUUUAGGUAAAAUUUAGCAGGAGCCUCAGUGACAUGCGACCAGCAUGGUGGUCAGGCCCUGCCCCCAAUAAAAUAAUUUUAAAAUAGUUCAACGCGUUUCCUCCACAAAUGUGGACUUCCUCAGGGACAAUUUAAAAAAUAAAUAAAAUACAAACAACAUCCUAGGUGCAAAGCAGUUUACUAAACCACCCUCCCUAUUCUCCUUAAAUAGGACAAGUUCCUGGUGCUUCAGAGGGUGUGGAUCCAUCUUUUUUACCUCAUUGGAUGAUGAUCCUCUGUUUCAGAUGCUUACCACAUCCUCUGCGUUCUGCAUAGCUGCCCACAAUAUCCAGAAACUGUAUAUUUCUAGUGCUUGCCGAUUGCGUUCCAGCCCCAUUUUGGAUGCGUUCCAUGACACCUCCCAUAAUAAUUACCCACACCUCCCACGGAAAUUGAAAGCACAUGAGUAACCCUGGUAACCAAAGUAAACAGGAGCCGGAAAAAAUGGAGAUGGUGUACUGUUGCUAUAGCAACAGACAACAUCAUUCGAUACGACCUAUGGCAAUCAUGUCAAACUCAUCUUUGUGGCCCAGCGAGCCGCGAGUACAUGCUGGUGUUAUAGCAGAGUAGGCACCUGCUUUCCCCACAUUGCAGGUGCCUACUCUGCUAACACUUACCCGGCCGGGGAGGAGGGCCAGCGAGGGAGCUCAGUGUUCUUGCUCCCUCGGGCGCGCCGUCUGUAGUUAAGCCGGACGCCGGAAUAUGGCAUCAUAUUCCGGGAUCACUAAACCGCACGAGGGAGCAGGGAGGAGAUCCCCACACCAGCUCCCAAAGGUAGGGAACAAUAAAUUAAAUAAUGUGAGUGCAAGAAUGUUUAACCCCUUAAGGACACGUGACAUGUCAUGAUUCCCUUUUAUUCCAGAAGUUUGGUCCUUAAGGGGUUAAAUGUGUCUGUCAGUGUGGGUGUGUGUGUCUGUCAGUGAGUAUGUGUGUCUGUCUGUGAGUGUGUGUGCUGGUCAGUGUUACAUUGGCUGCGACUGGACAGUGGAGUACCUGGAGGUGCAUGGAGGCACGCAACGCCACGUGACAUCGACGUGCUCCACCUUCACAGGGUUUCAAGAAGUAGCAGGAGGAUCAGAUUUGGCACAGGGUGGUAG